rnacentral:rRNA from 1 species
AUGUGGCUGCACCUGCAACCCUAUCUCAAACCCUGCCCCCGUGCCCUGCCCCCGAUGUCGAGCAGCCUCUUCCUCUGCUCUUCCCAGGUGCGCUAUGCCAGCCUCCCGGCACCUCUCCGGCAGCCGGGCCGCCACGCCGCCCGGAUGCCCCCGGCGGCUGCCGCGUUCGUAUCUCUUACCCGUCAUCGCGCUCGUCCCCUCCACUGGACCGGCUCGGGGGUUCGAAUGAUUGCUUCUUGCUUCGUGGUCAAAAGAAGAAGGCGUAGGAAUGGUAUCUACGCCUCUUUGUUUGGCGUUGGAGCUCCUGAAGCUCUGGUCAUUGGAGUGGUCGCUUUGCUGGUUUUUGGCCCCAAGGGUCUAGCAGAGGCAGCCAGGAGUUUGGGGAAGACUCUGCGUGCGUUCCAACCGACUAUCAGAGAGCUACAGGAUGUAUCAAGGGAUUUCAAGAACACCCUUGAACGAGAAAUCGGACUUGAUGAGGAUCCUCCAUCCAUGAGUUAUAGGCCUCCUCCACCUAUGAAUAAUAGCCCACAGCCUGCUGUUGACCCAGAUGUCAAGCCUGAAACAACCGUGCCAUACACCAGCGAGGAACUCAUGAAAGUAACCGAAGAACAGCUGGCUGCAUCCGCAAUUGCUGCUUGGAAUGCAAAGCAACCUCCCACAUCUGAGCAGCAAGAAGAAGCAGCAGCAGCAACACCUUCUGAAAGUACUGACUCAGCAUUAUCAGGAGGGAGUGAUGGUCCUGAUGCCGUGACGGCGGAGUCCACCUCAGGUAAUACUGAGAAUGCAAAGCCGAGAGAUGAGGCAUAAUACUGAAAACAGAAAGUAUGUUGUAUGCGGAGUAGAGCAAGGCGAAAGCUUUGGCGUCAAUUGGUUGUAGAAAGAAUGAAAUAGUUUUGGUUUCCACUUGGUGAGCUGGGUUGGCCAAGUGAUGGGUGAUUUGAGGCUUCGAUUAGUAGCGGCUUGGUCUGUUGUGGUGUGUAGCAUGGAGAGAUAGGUAGGUGAUGCGAAACCGAGCUGUGCAUAUCUUGGCCCUCCUCCAGUGUCUUGUUUUUGCCACGGCUGUUGUUACAUGUCUGUACCAUAUUUUUGUGAUUAUGCAAGGUAAGCAGAUAGAUUUUUUAAGGGAUGGGAUAUCUUUUUUCUUUCUUUCUUUCCAUUAUUAGGUGAUUGUUGAAUGUGUGCAUCUAGUCUUGAUUGUUUCUGGCUAUGGUUUCUCCUGGAAGGCUGGAACACAGGGAACUAAAAUACAUUACAUAUAAUUGCCUCUCAAUUCUUAGAGGAAUUCAGAAUGCAGGAGAAUUUCAUGAGAAGCUGGCAGGUUUUCUUCCUGAAAGAUAGGUUAAGAAUAUAGUCUCAUGUUUGCUCGUAUGUUGAGGUAAUCUUGUAAAGGUUGGGUCAUUUCAAUUGCUAUGAUUCUGGUGUCUUCUCUGGCAUGGCAGCGAUCGUUGGCUCCUAUUUCGGGGUCAGGGCGUCCCCAAUGCGGUCGAUGGAGGUGGGGACGAUGAGGCCGAGAAGUAGCUACACUUGUGUACCUUCGAGACACUUGAGAACUAGGUGGAGUGUGUCCUCGCGGUGGUGAUCACACAACAGGCAAGAUGAGUCGGAGGAGAUGGUCUUGUGAAGAAAGUUCGCCUUGGUGUUCAACCUGUCUCGAAAUAGAAGCCAACCAUAAUUUUGACCUUGACGGGGGUCAACGAGCUCUAAAUGUAGCCAGGGUUGAUGUCAACCUAGGAGUCGAGGGAUAGCCAUGAGUAAGUGCACCUAGAGGAGAACGAAGUCCCAUGGAUGAGGAACCUACCGUCCGGAGCGUCAUUUGAGGUAACAUCCCGCAACAAAGAUAAAAUAGCAACAAGUUUGACAAAAGCAACAUAGGUUAGUUGAUCUCGCAGGUUAGCGAAUACUCCAUUUUGACUAGGGACACUAGGACCAAGGGGGAGGUGGAGUGGGAAAAAUAUGAGGGAAGGUCGAGGGUAUGGGAUUGGAGAUCAACCAAGAGUCAAACUAGAGGAAGGAUGAGGGACUGCACCCAACUAGGGGCCGUGGCCACGUCUCCUUGUAUUGGUCUAUAAACAGUGUGCGCGCACGCUAGCCUACCGAGAGCCUCCUCUCCUCCUCCCCAAUCCGCCGCCUCCUCUCCUUCUCCCCAAUCCGCCGCCUCAUCUUUUCCUCCCCAAUCCGUUAGCCCUCACCACCAUGAAGCCACAGGGGGGGAGGGGACUGCGCCGCCGCUGGAAGAAAAUAGGAAGAGGAGGUGGCGCGGGGGAGACCAGCGGCAGCGACGGCGCAUCGAUGCGGGGUCGUUUGGAUCGUGGCGUGGGAGCGGCGUCGGCGGCGGCAAGAGAAGAGCAACGGUGGUAGCGCCGGCCUGCGAAGAGGCGAGGUGAGCGGUGGUGGCGGCGUCGGGAGAGAGGAUGAGAGGGAGAGAGAAGGGCAGCAGCCAGCGGCACCUCGUCCGUGUCCAGAUGCGUCCGCCCCGUGGCCGACCUCGACGAGCACGGCCUCGAUCCGGCCUCAGCCGGAGGACCUCGAGCCGAGGAGUGCGGCCUCGAUCGGGACUCGCACGCAGGACCUGUGCAUCGGCGGCGGUGUGCCCCCCGACGUAGAGGGGGUGGCCUACCGCGGCAACCGCGGGCGCAGCCGCCCGCCCCCCUGGUGCCGCCCCCAACGAGCCCUUCAUCUGCAGCUUCGAGAAGAAUUUCUAUGUGUACUGCACCUCUUACUGCCAACAAAUCCCAAUUCCAGUACCCUACACAGGACAUGACAGUAAUCUUCAGAAGGAGGGAGGUUGCGAUCUUGUUCAGAAUUCUGUUGAGUGGAUAAAAACUGUUUCCUCGGCACCAGAUGUCAUAGGCAUGACAUUUCUCCCUAUUGUUUCACUCGUUGAUGAUAUACCUGGGAAGAAGCACAUUGCUCGUGCCAUUGAUCUAUACUUGACAUGUAAGACAUGCACCUGAUUCCCUUUUUGGACUGUAUCCUCAAAGCCCAUCCGCCAUAAACCUGAGCUGUUGUUUUAAAUUAUAUUGCCAUCUAUAUAUUAUAGUAGCAGAGUCUCUGCACAGUUAUUCUAUUUGGAGUAUGUAUUCAAAAAUAUGUUUUAGUAAGGGUGAUGUAUUCAUGAUUAAGAUAGACACAUCUUUCCUACAGUUAGAAUGUCGAUCGUGAUUAAAUCAGUAGCUCAAUACAGUAGUAUAGCUAUUGAAGGACGCGGAUUUGAUGAACAUGGUUCCACGCGCACCCCUUAUGAAUAGUAAAUUCGAAAAAAUUACUACAACAACAACAAAGCCUUUAGUCCCAAACAAGUUGGGGUAGGCUAGAGGUGAAACCCAAAAAAUCUGAAUAUAUUUUCUAACAUACUUAGUCAACCGAUAUACCCUCGUAUGAAGUUUCACAAAGAAAUUACAUCCUUGCUAUCUGGGCAAAAAUGACAAAAUCGAAGCUAUAUUAGAAACAUUGUUUAAUGAAUAAUAAGGUCCCAAUUGUAUUUUCUUUGCUAAGAAUACCACGGGUGUCAAUACUUCAUGAAACUUCACUCAUGUUGCUUCCUAUUGCGAGCACUAGCUUCAUGUGUAGAUUGCAGUCACAAUGGCAAGCUGUCCGACCAUGUCUGCAAGGCCAAAGCAGCAGAGUUGAAGGAGAUCUUAUGGUAAGAAGAAAAAUAAAUGCUACAAUCCCUCUUUCAAUUUGUAUCGUUCAGUUGUACUUUGACUUCAUGUUUUCUUCAAUUCUUGUGAUGAUAGGAUCAAGGUGAGUAUGGAGAGAGAAAGGUUGAAGACGUGCAAUGGAAAAUUGUUAUUAGAUUUGCUUAAGAAUUGCCUUAUUCAAACAAAAUUGAAGCAUAUUACGUGUUGAAGCAUAUUUCGUGUUGUAUGUAUAUAAGAAGCUUAGUCAUGUGUCAUUCUUUGCAAAUAAAACUUAGAGCUCAAGUAGUUCAGAAUCAUACUGAAUAUCGCUUAUCAUGUACCUACAAUAACAUUUGUGUCUCAAGUGUUGGUUGUUAUGCUUUUUCUUUGAAACUGAUGGAGUUGGUGUUCGGAUUACUGAACUUUGCAUGUUAGCCUUUGGUUUCCUGAUUAUCUUUCUUCAACCCCUGUCAAGAUGGAUAUAUAAAUUGAUGUUGAUGAUGGCUCGUGCAGUUGCUUCCUAAGUCAGCCAAGAUGCAUGAUGCUCUUACAAGCGGAAACAUCAGGAUUACAGACAGAUGGAAGAAGCUUUUAUCAAAGACUCCCCUUUCUGACAAUUGAGAGAAUUUCUAUGCAAGAUAAAUUUGACUCUGUUCUUGAUCAUGAAUCUUUACGUGUUUGUGCUCAACUGAAUCGUGUUUGCUUGGUGUGAUCUCUCCCAGAACAAGAAGCUUGAUGAGCAAGGUGUACUAUAACUGGCGGGAAAUGCUAGAGCUUUUUUGUUAUGUACCAUCAAGAUAGUAUGGCUUAUCAUUUUGAAUAGCAAUGCCUGUUGAGUGAUGAUCAUAUUAGUCUUUAAUACUCUGUCUUGCUGGCCAUGUACUAAAAAUGGCACUUCCAUGUCUAAUAUGCUUGUGAUAUGCUCAAUCUGGGAUGGUCCAGUUUGAUGUUUACUUAUCCUUUAUAAAUAGGAGGGGAUGGGGGGAAAGAGCUAUAGAAGAAUACACCCUGUUAUCACUCCUAAUCCAAUAGUAUGGUAACAUUCAUAAGGCAAUAUAAG